UGGCCACAUCACAUUUAAACACCUGUUCUCGUAUGAUCACUGAAGUUAAGCAAUAUCAAACCUGGUCAGUAUCUAGAUGGGUGACCACUUGGGAAUACCUGGAGUU